AGUAACGCGUGGGGAACCUGCCCUGUACAGGGGGAUAACACUUAGAAAUAGGUGCUAAUACCGCAUAAGCGCACAGUAUCGCAUGAUACAGUGUGAAAAGCUCCGGCGGUAUGAGAUGGAUCCGCGUCUGAUUAGCUGGUUGGCGGGGUAACGGCCCACCAAGGCGACGAUCAGUAGCCGACCUGAGAGGGUGGCCGGCCACAUUGGGACUGAGACACGGCCCAAACUCCUACGGAAGGCAGCAG
rnacentral:rRNA from 1 species